AUUUAGUAGCCUUAGAAUGAGGGGAAGUAGAAUUGUUUAAACGUUGAUUCAAUGUUGUUUUAUCAGAGUCUGAUGUUAAUAUUUUGUGUUUCAGAUUGUUUUUGCCAAUGUUUUGAUCUGAGGUUUAAAGAACCACUUUUACAAUAUUGGAGAUAUGUAGUGGAAUAAAUGCCUGGAAAGACAAUUAUUGUCUGACAAUAUAAACUAUAAAUUGAAACCGGAAUGCAAUGAUAAGAAAGGGAAAUAUGGAAUAAAUGCCUGGAAAUACAAUAUAAACUAUAAUUUUAAACUGGAAUGCAAUGAUAAGAAAGGGAAAUAAACUAUUGCUAAGUCUAAAGAACCACUGAAGCUGAAGAAUUGAGAUACAACAAUCUUUGACUGACUUUAGGUGUAAGACGUUCGCCCAGCUAUUGUAGACCGCAUGGAAUCGAUUCAAGUCCUUUAAAAAUUUGUGAAUCAAGAUGAGAAUGAACUUAGUGAAUCUAUUGGUGGCGAUCGAAGGUGGACAGCAAGAUCGAAGCUCAGCAAGAUUGAAGAUUGUUCGAAGAAGAAGGAGUUCGCCGUUGACUAAAAGGUUUAUCUGAACAGCUAGUUGUCAAGAUGAAUGCGAAGACUCGCCCGGCCAAAUUCAAAAUGGCGAUGCCAAAGAAAACCAUCCACCUGGACCGUUCGCAGACCUUUCUGGGCAAGAUUGUUGUGCUGUCUGGUCAAAGUUAAGUAUUUUACUUUGAUGUUUGUGUGCCUUCGGCUAAUUGUUGGCCAGAAAUGACAAAAAGCCAUAUACAAUAUGAAAUAUUCUGCGUACAAGGUUAUCUAAAAUUUCGAACUUAAUUCUGCCUGCAAUGAUGAUAAUUUUUUACUGAAAAUUUAUGUCAUGAGCAACUUCCGCACCUAUAGACUGAAGCAGAACUGAACAUUUUGUCAUUAACGUUUAUCUCAACAGCCAGUUAUCAAGACGAACGUCAAGAGAACAGUUGAAAUAG